rnacentral:rRNA from 1 species
ACUCCUACGGGAGGCAGCAGUGGGGAAUAUUGGACAAUGGGGGAAACCCUGAUCCAGCCAUGCCGCGUGUGUGAAGAAGGCCUUCGGUUGUAAAGCACUUCAGUGGGGAGGAAAGGUUGAUGGUUAAUACCUAUCAGCUGUGACGUUACCCACAGAAGAAGCACCGGCUAACUCCGUGCCAGCAGCCGCGGUAAUACGGAGGGUGCAAGCGUUAAUCGGAAUUACUGGGCGUAAAGCGUGCGCAGGCGGUCUGUUAAGCGAGAUGUGAAAGCCCCCGGGCUCAACCUGGGAACUGCAUUUCGAACUGGCAGACUAGAGUCUGUAGAGGGGUAGAAUUCCAGGUGUAGCGGUGAAAUGCGUAGAGAUCUGGAGGAAUACCGGUGGCGAAGGCGGCCCCUGGACAAAGACUGACGCUCAGGCACGAAAGCGUGGGAGCAAACAGGAUUAGAUACCCUGGUAGGUCAGUC